rnacentral:rRNA from 1 species
GACGAACGCUGGCGGCGUGCUUAACACAUGCAAGUCGAACGGAAAGUCCCUGCUUUUGUGGGGUGCUCGAGUGGCGAACGGGUGAGUAACACGUGAGUAACCUGCCCUUGACUUUGGUAUAACUUCAUGAAACUUGGUCUAAUACCGGAUAGGAGCUCCUGCUUCAUGGUGGGGGUUGGAAAGUUUCGGCGGUUGGGGAUGUACUCGCGUCUUAUCAGCUUGUUGGUGGGGUAGUGGCUUACCAAGGCUUUGACGGGUAGCCGGCCUGAGAGGGUGACCGGCAACAUUGGGACUGAGAUACGGCCCAGACUCCUACGGGAGGCAGCAGUGGGGAAUAUUGCACAAUGGGCGGAAGCCUGAUGCAGCAACGCCGCGUGCGGGAUGACGGCCUUCGGGUUGUAAACCGCUUUCGCCUGUGACGAAGCGUGAGUGACGGUAAUGGGUAAAGAAGCACCGGCUAACUACGUG